GCCCCUCUCAGUUCGGAUCGGAGUCUGCAACCCGACUCCGUGAAGCUGGAUUCGCUAGUAAUCGCGCAUCAGCCACGGCGCGGUGAGUACGUUCCCGGGCCUUGUACACACCGCCCGUCAAGCCAUGGAAGCCGGGGGUGCCUGAAGUGCGCUGCCGCAAGGAGCGCCCUAGGGUAAAACCGGUGACUGGGGCUAAGUCGUAACAAGGUACC
rnacentral:rRNA from 1 species